rnacentral:lncRNA from 1 species
CCGGGAUUGCCUGAAGCAAACAAUGAAUAGGGAGCAGCCGAACUCAGAUUACUCUGCUCAACCUGAGCGGGGCUGGAUCUGGAACCAGCAUAAUCAUCUUCUCCAGCCAUCAACCUGAUGAACUAAAGAACUUUGUCGAAACUAUCGAAAGAAAAAUUAGAUUUCAGGAUUUUAUUGCUCUGAUACCAUGUAAAGCAGAAAACUGU